rnacentral:rRNA from 1 species
GAUGAACGCUGGCGGCGUGCCUAAUACAUGCAAGUCGAGCGAACAGACGAGGAGCUUGCUCCUCUGACGUUAGCGGCGGACGGGUGAGUAACACGUGGAUAACCUACCUAUAAGACUGGGAUAACUUCGGGAAACCGGAGCUAAUACCGGAUAACAUGUUGAACCGCAUGGUUCAACAGUGAAAGACGGAUUUGCUGUCACUUAUAGAUGGAUCCGCGCCGCAUUAGCUAGUUGGUAAGGUAACGGCAUACCAAGGCAACGAUGCGUAGCCGACCUGAGAGGGUGAUCGGCCACACUGGAACUGAGACACGGUCCAGACUCCUACGGGAGGCAGCAGUAGGGAAUCUUCCGCAAUGGGCGAAAGCCUGACGGAGCAACGCCGCGUGAGUGAAGAAGGUCUUCGGAUCGUAAAACUCUGUAUUUAGGGAAGAACAAAUGUGUAAGUAACUAUGCACGUCUUGACGGUACCUAAUCAGAAAGCCACGGCUAACUACGUG